rnacentral:rRNA from 1 species
ACGGCAGCGCGGGGGCCACCCUGGCGGCGAGUGGCGGACGGGUGAGGAACACAUAGGAAUCUACCUCAACGUGGGGGAUAACGUAGGGAAACUUACGCUAAUACCGCAUACGACCGAGAGGGGAAAGCGGCGGACCGCAAGGCGUCGCGCGGUGAGAUGAGCCUAUGUCCGAUUAGCUAGUUGGCGGGGUAAGAGCCCACCAAGGCGACGAUCGGUAGCUGGUCUGAGAGGAUGAUCAGCCACACUGGAACUGAGACACGGUCCAGACUCCUACGGGAGGCAGCAGUGGGGAAUAUUGGACAAUGGGCGCAAGCCUGAUCCAGCAAUGCCGCGUGGGUGAAGAAGGCCUUCGGGUUGUAAAGCCCUUUUGUACGGGAAGAAAUCCUGUCGGUUAAUACCCGGCGGGGAUGACGGUACCGUAAGAAUAAGCACCGGCUAACUUCGUGCCAGCAGCCGCGGUAAUACGAAGGGUGCAAGCAUUAAUCGGAAUUACUGGGCGUAAAGCGUGCGUAGGCGGUUCGUUAAGUCUGUCGUGAAAGCCCUGGGCUCAACCUGGGAAUGGCGAUGGAUACUGGCGAGCUAGAGUCAGGUAGAGGGUGGCGGAAUUCCCGGUGUAGCGGUGAAAUGCGUAGAGAUCGGGAGGAACAUCUGUGGCGAAGGCGGCCGCCUGGACCAUGACU